GUAGGGAAUAUUGGGCAAUGGUCGGAAGACUGACCCAACCAUGCCGCGUGCAGGAAGACGGCCCUCUGGGUUGUAAACUGCUUUUAUCUGGGAAGAAAAAGGCCAUGCGUGGCAAAUUGCCGGUACCAGAUGAAUAAGCACCGGCUAACUCCGUGCCAGCAGCCGCGGUAAUACGGAGGGUGCAAGCGUUGUCGGAUUUAUUGGGUUUAAAGGGUGCGUAGGCGGCUGAUUAAGUCAGCGGUGAAAGACUCCGGCUUAACCGGAGCAGUGGCGUUGAUACUGGUUAGGUUGAGUGUUGGAGGGGUACAUGGAAUUGAUGGUGUAGCGGUGAAAUGCAUAGAUACCAUCAGGAACACCGAUAGCGAAGGCAUUGUACUGGCCAACAACUGACGCUGAUGCACGAAAGUGUGGGGAUCGAACAGGAUUAGAAACCCCUGUAGUCC
rnacentral:rRNA from 1 species